GACGAACGCUGGCGGCGUGCUUAACACAUGCAAGUCGAACGGAAGGGCCCUGCUUUUGUGGGGUGCUCGAGUGGCGAACGGGUGAGUAACACGUGAGUAACCUGCCCUUGACUUUGGGAUAACUUCAGGAAACUGGGGCUACUACCGGAUAGGAGCUCCUGCUGCAUGGUGGGGGUUGGAAAGUUUCGGCGGUUGGGGAUGGACUCGCGGCUUAUCAGCUUGUUGGUGGGGUAGUGGCUUACCAAGGCUUUGACGGGUAGCCGGCCUGAGAGGGUGACCGGCCACAUUGGGACUGAGAUACGGCCCAGACUCCUACGGGAGGCAGCAGUGGGGAAUAUUGCACAAUGGGCGGAAGCCUGAUGCAGCAACGCCGCGUGCGGGAUGACGGCCUUCGGGUUGUAAACCGCUUUCGCCUGUGACGAAGCGUGAGUGACGGUAAUGGGUAAAGAAGCACCGGCUAACUACGUG
rnacentral:rRNA from 1 species